UGGGGAAUUUUGCACAAUGGGGGAAACCCUGAUGCAGCGACGCCGCGUGAUUUAGAAGGCCUUCGGGUUGUAAAAAUCUUUUCUAUGGGAAGGAAAUGACAGUACCAUAGGAAUAAGGACCGGCUAAUUACGUGCCAGCAGCCGCGGUAAUACGUAAGGUCCGAGCGUUGUCCGGAAUCAUUGGGCGUAAAGGGUACGUAGGCGGGUAAGCAAGUUAGAAGUGAAAUCCUAUAGCUCAACUAUAGUAAGCUUUUAAAACUGCUCAUCUUGAGGUAUGGAAGGGAAAGUGGAAUUCCUAGUGUAGCGGUGAAAUGCGCAGAUAUUAGGAGGAAUACCGGUGGCGAAGGCGACUUUCUGGCCAUAACCUGACGCUGAGGUACGAAAGCGUGGGUAGCAAACAGG
rnacentral:rRNA from 1 species